rnacentral:rRNA from 1 species
UGAUUAGAGCGGCGGACGGGUGAGUAACGCGUAGGAAUCUACCUAGUAGAAGGGGAUAGCCCGAGGAAACUCGGAUUAAUACCGUAUACCUCCUUCGGGAGAAAGAAGGCCUCUCUUUGAAGCUUUCGCUACUAGAUGAGCCUGCGUAAGAUUAGCUAGUUGGUAGGGUAAAGGCCUACCAAGGCGACGAUCUUUAGCUGGUCUGAGAGGACGAUCCGCCACAUUGGGACUGAGACACGGCCCAGACUCC